rnacentral:pre_miRNA from 1 species
UCGGUCGGUCUCUGCAGGUAACAGCACCUCCACUGGAACUGACAGCAGCUUCCACAUGGAGUUGCUGUUACAUCCAGCGACAACCAC